rnacentral:misc_RNA from 1 species
UUUCCGUAGGUGAACCUGCGGAAGGAUCAUUCGUAAUAAGUGUUUUAUGGCACUUUUUUAAAUCCAUAUCCACCUUGUGUGCAAUGUCAGGGUUGAUUUUUCUCUCGAGAGGAUCAACCCCAAACAUCAACUAUAUCUCAACUCUUUGUCUGAAAAAUAUUAUGAAUAAAACAAUUCAAAAUACAACUUUCAACAACGGAUCUCUUGGCUCUC